rnacentral:rRNA from 1 species
GAUGAACGCUGGCGGCGUGCCUAAUACAUGCCAGUCGAGCGAACAGACGAGGAGCUUGCUCCUCUGACGUUAGCGGCGGACGGGUGAGUAACACGUGGAUAACCUACCUAUAAGACUGGGAUAACUUCGGGAAACCGGAGCUAAUACCGGAUAAUAUAUUGAACCGCAUGGUUCAAUAGUGAAAGACGGUUUUGCUGUCACUUAUAGAUGGAUCCGCGCCGCAUUAGCUAGUUGGUAAGGUAACGGCUUACCAAGGCGACGAUGCGUAGCCGACCUGAGAGGGAGAUCGGCCACACUGGAACUGAGACACGGUCCAGACUCCUACGGGAGGCAGCAGUAGGGAAUCUUCCGCAAUGGGCGAAAGCCUGACGGAGCAACGCCGCGUGAGUGAUGAAGGUCUUCGGAUCGUAAAACUCUAUUAUUAGGGAAGAACAAAUGUGUAAGUAACUAUGCACGUCUUGACGGUACCUAAUCAGAAAGCCACGGCUAACUACGUG